GGGGAGUACGCCGGCAACGGUGAAACUCAAAGGAAUUGACGGGGGCCCGCACAAGCGGAGGAACAUGUGGUUUAAUUCGAUGAUACGCGAGGAACCUUACCCGGGCUCAAACGACACAGGAAUACUUUUGAAAGGAGGUAGCUCUUCGGAGCCUGUGUCGAGGUGCUGCAUGGUUGUCGUCAGCUCGUGCCGUGAGGUGUCGGCUUAAGUGCCAUAACGAGCGCAACCCCCAUCGCCAGUUACCAGCAAGUCAAGUUGGGGACUCUGGCGAGACUGCCGGCGCAAGCUGUGAGGAAGGCGGGGAUGACGUCAAAUCAGCACGGCCCUUACGUCCGGGGCGACACACGUGUUACAAUGGCAGGUACAGAGAGAAGCAAUGCGGCGACGCAAAGCGGAACUUGAAAGCCUGUCUCAGUUCGGAUUGGAGUCUGCAACUCGACUCCAUGAAGCUGGAUUCGCUAGUAAUCGCGCAUCAGCCAUGGCGCGGUGAAUACGUUCCCGGGCCUUGUACACACCGCCCGUCAAGCCAUGGAAGCCGGGAGUGCCUGAAGUGUGCAACCGCAAGGAGCGCCCUAAGGUAAAACUGGUGACUGGGGCUAAGUCGUAACAAGGUAGCCGU
rnacentral:rRNA from 1 species